GAUGAACGCUGGCGGCGUGCCUAAUACAUGCAAGUCGAGCGAACAGACGAGGAGCUUGCUCCUCUGACGUUAGCGGCGGACGGGUGAGCAACACGUGGAUAACCUACCUAUAAGACUGGGAUAACUUCGGGAAACCGGAGCUAAUACCGGAUAAUAUAUUGAACCGCAUGGUUCAAUAGUGAAAGACGGUUUUGCUGUCACUUAUAGAUGGAUCCGCGCCGCAUUAGCUAGUUGGUAAGGUAACGGCUUACCAAGGCAACGAUGCGUAGCCGACCUGAGGGGGUGAUCGGCCACACUGGAACUGAGACACGGUCCAGACUCCUACGGGAGGCAGCAGUAGGGAAUCUUCCGCAAUGGGCGAAAGCUUGACGGAGCAACGCCGCGUGAGUGAUGAAGGUCUUCGGAUCGUAAAACUCUGUUAUUAGGGAAGAACAAAUGUGUAAGUAACUAUGCACGUCUUGACGGUACCUAAUCAGAAAGCCACGGCUAACUACGUG
rnacentral:rRNA from 1 species